GAUAGAGUGAUGGUGCGAGGACUUCGCAUGAGGCCGUGAAUUCGGUGGAUGCUCGUGGAUUCGAGGCGUUGUUGCUGCAAGGAGUUGCGGCAUGAUGGAUUGGAGGAGUUCCAUCGAUCGAGGACCGGCGAAGACGAUCUACAAUGAGGAUUCGGUAAAAGUUGAGUCGUGUAUAUGGUAAAUCACCUUGUACUCAAUUUUUUAGAGUGGAUUGUU
rnacentral:lncRNA from 1 species